rnacentral:rRNA from 1 species
GAGUUUGAUCCUGGCUCAGGACGAACGCUGGCGGCGUGCCUAAUACAUGCAAGUCGAACGAACUCUGGUAUUGAUUGGUGCUUGCAUCAUGAUUUACAUUUGAGUGAGUGGCGAACUGGUGAGUAACACGUGGGAAACCUGCCCAGAAGCGGGGGAUAACACCUGGAAACAGAUGCUAAUACCGCAUAACAACUUGGACCGCAUGGUCCGAGCUUGAAAGAUGGCUUCGGCUAUCACUUUUGGAUGGUCCCGCGGCGUAUUAGCUAGAUGGUGGGGUAACGGCUCACCAUGGCAAUGAUACGUAGCCGACCUGAGAGGGUAAUCGGCCACAUUGGGACUGAGACACGGCCCAAACUCCUACGGGAGGCAGCAGUAGGGAAUCUUCCACAAUGGACGAAAGUCUGAUGGAGCAACGCCGCGUGAGUGAAGAAGGGUUUCGGCUCGUAAAACUCUGUUGUUAAAGAAGAACAUAUCUGAGAGUAACUGUUCAGGUAUUGACGGUAUUUAACCAGAAAGCCACGGCUAACUACGUGCCAGCAGCCGCGGUAAUACGUAGGUGGCAGGCGUUGUCCGGAUUUAUUGGGCGUAAAGCGAGCGCAGGCGGUUUUUUAAGUCUGAUGUGAAAGCCUUCGGCUCAACCGAAGAAGUGCAUCGGAAACUGGGAAACUUGAGUGCAGAAGAGGACAGUGGAACUCCAUGUGUAGCGGUGAAAUGCGUAGAUAUAUGGAAGAACACCAGUGGCGAAGGCGGCUGUCUGGUCUGUAACUGACGCUGAGGCUCGAAAGUAUGGGUAGCAAACAGGAUUAGAUACCCUGGUAGUCCAUACCGUAAACGAUGAAUGCUAAGUGUUGGAGGGUUUCCGCCCUUCAGUGCUGCAGCUAACGCAUUAAGCAUUCCGCCUGGGGAGUACGGCCGCAAGGCUGAAACUCAAAGGAAUUGACGGGGGCCCGCACAAGCGGUGGAGCAUGUGGUUUAAUUCGAAGCUACGCGAAGAACCUUACCAGGUCUUGACAUACUAUGCAAAUCUAAGAGAUUAGACGUUCCCUUCGGGGACAUGGAUACAGGUGGUGCAUGGUUGUCGUCAGCUCGUGUCGUGAGAUGUUGGGUUAAGUCCCGCAACGAGCGCAACCCUUAUUAUCAGUUGCCAGCAUUAAGUUGGGCACUCUGGUGAGACUGCCGGUGACAAACCGGAGGAAGGUGGGGAUGACGUCAAAUCAUCAUGCCCCUUAUGACCUGGGCUACACACGUGCUACAAUGGAUGGUACAACGAGUUGCGAACUCGCGAGAGUAAGCUAAUCUCUUAAAGCCAUUCUCAGUUCGGAUUGUAGGCUGCAACUCGCCUACAUGAAGUCGGAAUCGCUAGUAAUCGCGGAUCAGCAUGCCGCGGUGAAUACGUUCCCGGGCCUUGUACACACCGCCCGUCACACCAUGAGAGUUUGUAACACCCAAAGUCGGUGGGGUAACCUUUUAGGAACCAGCCGCCUAAGGUGGGACAGAUGAUUAGGGUGAAGUCGUAACAAGGUAGCCGUAG